rnacentral:rRNA from 1 species
CACGUAGGGCGCAAGCGUUGUCCGGAAUUAUUGGGCGUAAAGAGCUCGUAGGCGGUCUGUUGCGUCCGCUGUGAAAACUCGGGGCUUAACCCCGAGCCUGCAGUGGAUACGGGCAGACUAGAGGUAGGUAGGGGAGAAUGGAAUUCCCGGUGUAGCGGUGAAAUGCGCAGAUAUCAGGAGGAACACCUGCGGUGUAGACGGCUUUCUGGACCAUUGUUGACGCUGAGACACGAAAGCGUGGGUAGCAAACAGG